AAAUACAGGGAUCAUUUCUAUAGGUUUUUAUUUGAGAAAUGUGUUCUAAAAAGGUCGGCCUCACUAACCAUGAGGAGGUGGUAUAACAUUUCCUCCUGAGUGUGAAGCGGGUUAAAAGUAUUGCUUUUUGCAAAAGCUUUUAACCAUUGAUGAUUGUUCCCUUUUCUCAUUGUGAGGAGAGUGGAGGAAGGAAAUACUAGCAACACAUGGA